CACGUGUGCAACCUGCCUUUAUCUGGGGGAUAGCCUUUCGAAAGGGAGAUUAAUACCCCAUAAUAUACUGAGUGGCAUCACUUAUUAUUGAAAACUCCGGUGGAUAGAGAUGGGCACGCGCAAGAUUAGAUAGUUGGUGAGGUAACGGCUCACCAAGUCAAUGAUCUUUAGGGGGCCUGAGAGGGUGAUCCCCCACACUGGUACUGAGACACGGACCAGACUCCUACGGGAGGCAGCAGUGAGGAAUAUUGGACAAUGGGUGAGAGCCUGAUCCAGCCAUCCCGCGUGAAGGACGACGGCCCUAUGGGUUGUAAACUUCUUUUGUACAGGGAUAAACCUAUUUACGUGUAAAUAGCUGAAGGUACUGUACGAAUAAGCACCGGCUAACUCCGUGCCAGCAGCCGCGGUAAUACGGAGGGUGCAAGCGUUAUCCGGAUUUAUUGGGUUUAAAGGGUCCGUAGGCGGAUCCGUAAGUCAGUGGUGAAAUCUCAUAGCUUAACUAUGAAACUGCCAUUGAUACUGCGGGUCUUGAGUAAGGUAGAAGUAGCUGGAAUAAGUAGUGUAGCGGUGAAAUGCAUAGAUAUUACUUAGAACACCAAUUGCGAAGGCAGGUUACUAUGUCUAACUGACGCUGAUG
rnacentral:rRNA from 1 species